rnacentral:rRNA from 1 species
AAGGGAUUAUCCUUGAGGGUUAUUAUAUAUAUGGUAAGACGUGUUGAAUUUUGUACCAGAAGACUUCUGAUAAAUCUUAGAGAGCCAAGUAUUGUUCGGGUAUUUAUUUAUCCUAAAAGGAACGUUCAAGCAGUUUCAUUAUUACUGAUUAUGAAAAGGAUAAUGAUUCAAUAGUCGAUAGUUCCUAUGAACUUGGGGAUCUCGAGGAACAGAAGAAGAGAUGGGAUUUCACAGUGUAGGGGUGAAAUGCGUAGAUAUGAGCAGGAACACCUGGGGCAAAGAAGGGUAUAUUGUCUGUUUCUGAAGGAGAAGCGUGAAACUGUGGUUAGCAAACAGGAUUAGAUCCACUGGUAGUCCACGCCGUAAUCAAUGAAUGGUAGUUGUUAGGGGUCUUCCACCCAUUAGUGCUGAAGUUAACUCAUUAAGCAUUCCGCUUGGGGAUUACGUCCGCAAGGUGUAAACUCAAAGGAAUUGACGGGGAGCCCGCACAAGCGGUGGAGCAUGUGGUUUAAUUCGAAGCAACGCGAAGAGUCCAUACCAGGUCUUGACAUCGUGGGACAUCCCUAGAGAUAGGGCUUUCCUUUCGGGGACCAAGUGACAGGUGGUGCAUGGUAGUCGUCAGCUCGUGUCGUGAGAUGUUGGGUUAAGUCCCGCAACGAGCGCAACCCCUAAUCUUAGUUGCCAGCAUUCAGUUGGGCACUCUAAGGUGACUGCCGGUGACAAACCGGAGGAAGGCGGGGAUGACGUCAAAUCAUCAGCCCC